GAUGAACGCUGGCGGCGUGCCUAAUACAUGCAAGUCGAGCGAACAGAUGAGGAGCUUGCUCCUCUGACGUUAGCGGCGGACGGGUGAGUAACACGUGGAUAACCUACCUAUAAGACUGGGAUAACUUCGGGAAACCGGAGCUAAUACCGGAUAAUAUAUUGAACCGCAUGGUUCAAUAGUGAAAGACGGUUUUGCUGUCACUUAUAGAUGGAUCCGCGCCGCAUUAGCUAGUUGGUAAGGUAACGGCUUACCAAGGCAACGAUGCGUAGCCGACCUGAGAGGGUGAUCGGCCACACUGGAACUGAGACACGGUCCAGACUCCUACGGGAGGCAGCAAUAGGGAAUCUUCCGCAAUGGGCGAAAGCCUGACGGAGCAACGCCGCGUGAGUGAUGAAGGUCUUCGGAUCGUAAAACCCUGUUAUUAGGGAAGAACAAAUGUGUAAGUAACUAUGCACGUCUUGACGGUACCUAAUCAGAAAGCCACGGCUAACUACGUG
rnacentral:rRNA from 1 species